rnacentral:rRNA from 1 species
UGACCGGAUGCCGAUCUCGAAAACCUGUCCCAGUUCGGACUGGAGUCUGCAACCCGACUCCACGAAGUUGGAUUCGCUAGUAAUCGCGCAUCAGCCAUGGCGCGGUGAAUACGUUCCCGGGCCUUGUACACACCGCCCGUCAAGCCAUGGGAGCCGGGGGCGCCUGAAGUCCGGGACCGCGAGGACCGGCCUAAGGCGAAACUGGUGACUGGGGCUAAGUCGUAACAAGGUACC